CACCUGCUGCGGGCCCAUGGGGAGGGGCGGGGCCUGAGACUUUCCUGGCCCUCGGUCUCAGGAUGUGACUUCUAGACACAAGGUAGUCAGAGGCCUCAGAGGAUUUAGGUGGUGCGACUUUAACCGAUAAGGGGUGUGGCCUCAGGUGGGUGUGGCUCGAGGGGAGCCCCCUUUGCGACAGAAAGGCAGGGACCACAAACUACAGGGCUUCAAGGACAGCAAAAUCUCAGACUCAAAGGGACAGCGCUUGAAUGGAGUCUCCUUAGAGACCGGUUGGGAGGGUAGGAAACUGGGUAUAGGGUGUGAGACAUAAUCAAGCCCAGGUGUGAGGUGGAGGAGCUUAAAGGUCAGGAAGUGAGACUGCUACACGGACCUCGGGUGGGUCCCAGUGGGAUGUGGUCCCAGUGGGCGUGGCCUCUUCCUGAAAGGUCUUGCCUUGGUGGAGCUCUCUAGGGUCACACCAAGGGUGCAAGGCCCUAAGCACUGCGCGGACACCCCCUGUCCCAGUGCCCUUACCCGGACAAGCAGGAACUUGUUCAUGGGCUGGUACCACUGGAGCAGAACUACCGAUGUUUCCAAGGCCCCGCACAGGAAAGGGCCCUCGGAGCUUGUACUCUCCGCUGUAGGUGUGGGCAAGAAUGAAUGGAUCAGAGUCAGUCCUUCUCUUCGGCCUGUUCCCCGAAGAGAGGCCCAAAGUGCCCCCUUCUUUCCCUGGGCUCGGGACACCUAGCCUUAAUGCCACAUCCCUCUCCAAUGGACGCUGCCCAAGCCCUGGCCCUGCCUCCUUUGUACACCCAUGGGCUUCACUCUCACCCACACAGCACGCCCGGCAGCCUUUGGUGUCCUGGAUCUUGGUGGAGACCAUGUUCUUCCUGGCGAAGAGUUUGUCAUUACAGAUGUGAUAUUAACUGGCUCGUAAAUCCUAUUUGGGGUCAACCAUGGUGGCACAAGACUGUGAUCCCAGCCCUCAGGAGGCUGAGGCAAGAGGACCAUGAGUUCGAGGGCAGCUUCAGCUACAUAUUGAGUUUAAGCCCACUACCAGACCUGACAGAGACAUGAGGACGUUGUUGAUGGAGUACACCCAAGUUGUCCGGCUAGGAAAGAGCUGCAGAGAAUGGAGGCAGUGAGUCAUAUGGCAUCUGGUGACCCUGUCCCCCAACUCCACACCGACCCUGUAACCCAGGCAUAGGGCCUCACCAUCUCCAGCGUGGCCUCCUGGUCAUUCCGGUUCAGGAUGAAAAUGCCUUCCUCCGCCCCCAGGAGCAGGUGCUGUUCUGCAGGGCACAGACAAGCAGGACACUAGGACCCACUUCAUCCUGGGAUGGCCAGUCUCCACCAAUUUGGGUCCAAACAGUGACCCCCUCUCUCUCUCAGGCCCUCAGUUUUGACCUUUUACUCACUAACUCUCAGCCCAAACUGAUUUACUCUCAGCCUCUGUUUCCCCAAAUGUGAUUACAAAUGCUGCCCAGUCCCAUAGGCCGGUCUUAGUGUCCCUUAUCAGCAACUUGCCAGAUUCUGGUGGUUCUUCUGACUCUAACUCACAAAUCCUGGCCCUUCAUCUCCCCAGAGGUCACCCUACCUUUCAACCUGCCACUCAAAACAGCCAUUUAAUUUCUGUCCUUCUUUCUGCCCACUUCUGACUUCCUGUUUUCACACUGAUCCUCAAACUCAAGACACCCUCAAACACAACUUGUUUUGUGCAAUGUGGCCUUUGAACUCUGACACACCUCCUUUAGCACUGACAUUUGAUUUACCUUGUCUACCUUUGGCCCCUCGUUUCUGUCCUUUUUUGCUGCAUUCUGAUCCCUAAAACUUUUUUUUUUAAACACAGUCUCACUGUGCAGCCCAGGCUGCCCUGAAAUUUAUACAUCCUCCUGCCUCAGCCUCCUAAGUGCUGGGAUUACAGGUGUGCAUCACCACACCUAAAGCCUGAUCCCUAAAACUUCUGACCCCAAAAUGCUGAUCCCAGUUUCUCUACCAUAAACCUCCAGCUAUCAGCCACUCAUUUCUAUCCUGUCUGCCAAACUCUAGGCAAUGUUAUAUUUGGACACCUCUCUCCCCACACUGUAAUUUCCCUAGUUUUUAUUAAUUCAUCUUCCCUUUAUCUCUGCUGGAUGCCCAGAUUCAGGGCCACUCAACUUCUUGAGCCCCUCAUGCCCUUCCCCUGCCCAGGCCCACCUUUGGUGGAGGGGUGUGUCCAGGCGGCCGUGCUGUGGAUCCGUAGCGGGCAGCCAUUGAACAGCUUCACAAGAAGGGCACAUCCCUGGGUGGGCCCCGUGGGCCGGACAGCAGAUCCAGAGAAGGAGGGCAGGAGACAGAAAGGCACAGUAGUUAAAACUCUGGAGCAAGAGUGCCUGAGUUCAAAUCCUGCCUCUGCCUCUCCAAACUGUAUAGUCACCUGCUUCAUUCCCACUUCUACUUUCUGUGGAUUUAGUUAUGUAUAGUCAACUGUGAUCCAAAAGUAUUACAUGGAAAAUUCCAGGAAAAAAACCCCUAACUUUCAAAUAUUAUAGUACACCGUUAUAAUUAUCCUAGUUGAUUAUUAGUUAUUAGGGUAAAUCUCUUACUGUGACAAAAUUAUGAAUUUAAUUUCAUCAUAGGUAAGCAUGUAUAGGAAAAAAUACACAUACAUACACAUAUAUUUGUGUAUGUGUGUAUGUGUAGCUGGUUUCAAGUAUUCAUUAGUGGUCUUAAAACGUGCCCUGAGCAGAUAAGGGGGGACUAUUAUACAUACAACCUUGGGCAAACCUCUUAGCCUCUCUAUGCUUCAGACUCCCCAGCUGUGCUGCCUGUUUCUAGGUUAAGGACUUAUGCCACAUGAAGCUAGACAUCUGUGUCUGACACCCGGGAACUCCCCUCCCGAGCCCUACCCACCCCUUGGGACACCGCUCGGCCUCACCUUCCGCUUCAUCUUUUCUUUCUUAGGGGGCAGCAGUGGGGGCUGGUCAGGCUCCUGGGAAGCUGGGUUCCAGAGUGAGGGUUCUGAGAGGGGUUGGAGGUGAUCAGCCUGAGACCCCUCACCCUGGCCCAGCCUCCACCCCAGCUCAUCCUGUUACCUGAGU